rnacentral:lncRNA from 1 species
AAAAUUAGUGAGACAUGGUGGCAAACACCUGUAAUCCCAGCUACUCAGGAGGCUGAGGCAGGAGAAUCGCUUGAACCCGGGAGGCGGAGGUUGCAGUAAGCGGAGAUCACACCACUGCAUUGUAGCCUGGGUGACAGAGUGAGACUCUGUCCCCCACCAAACAAACAAACAAACAAACAAAAGACUUACUUGCAGCUUUGACCUCCUGAACUGCAAUCCUCCUGCCCCAGCCUCCUGAGUAGCAACCUCCCACACACCCACCCCCCCAAGUUCAAGUGAUUCUCCUGCCUCACCCUCCCGAGUAGCUGGGAUUACAGGUGUGCACCACCAUGCCUAGCCAAUUUUUGUUUUUAGUGGAGACAGGGUUUCACCAUGUUGGCCAGGCUGGUCUUGAACUCCUGACCUCAAGAGAUCCACCCACCUCAGCCUCCCAAAGUGCUGGGAAUACAGGUGUGAGCCACUGUGCCCACCCAUAAUUUUUAAUUUUUUUUAUAGAUAGAGGGUCUCACUAUGUUGCCCAGGCUGGUCUCGAACUCUAGGGCUCAAGUGAUCCUCUAACCUCAGCCUCCCAAAGUGCUGGGAUCACAGGCAUGAGCCAUGGUGCCUGUCCUAGAGCUGAAUUUUGAAUAGAAUCAACUAUGUAAAGGCAGAGGAAGUGAGGGCCCCUUAACCUCUUCUCCAAGAUAAGCUAUUUGUCUCAUUGAAACUUUCUUUUGAAUCUUACAGUUACCAUUGUGUGUUUCCUAUAGGCCCUUCUCCAGAUUCUCCAAGUUGUUCCCAAGAACCUUUUCACUGGGGCCCAGAAUUGACUCACAGUAUCCAUCCCAAUUCCCCUUUCUCUUAAAAAGGAGAAGCUGGAAAACUCAAGUACUAAAUUUCCCAGCCUCUCUUGCACAGAUAGUGACCAUGUGAACCAGUUCUGGCAAGGAGCUGCAGGCAGAGGUCCCCGGGGAGGGCUUUGGGUCUCUGACCCUGGAGAUGUAGCAGCCAUCUCUCCAAGCAUGCUAAGACUGGCAGAGCAGCAUUGUAGGACUGAUUUCUUAAGGGGAUCUUUGAUCAGCUACACAGCCCUGAAAUGUCUAUCUCUGCACUUGUCAUGUGAAAAAAUAAAAAAAUAAAAUAACCUGCAAUCCCACCCCCAAGUCUAUUUAAGUCACUGUGCGAAUUUUUUUUUAACUUACAGGCAAGAAAUAUUUCUACCUGAUAUUCUGAGUACUAGAUUAACCAAAUAAAUUAGACAUAUAUAAUAGAAGUGAGUAAAUAAAAACUGAGUGGGAAUGCUCACAGAGCUCAUACCACCCAAAACAGGGCAUCUUGAAAUCAGUUCUUUUUUUCAGGUGUUUCAUCGGUUAAUGCUUCCAUCCAGUGAAAUAAAAACUUCAUUCAGCCUUGAAAUUAAUUUA